UACGUAGGGUGCAAGCGUUAAUCGGAAUUACUGGGCGUAAAGCGUGCGCAGGCGGUUAUGUAAGACAGUUGUGAAAUCCCCGGGCUCAACCUGGGAGCUGCACCUGUGACUGCAUAGCUAGAGUACGGUAGAGGGGGAUGGAAUUCCGCGUGUAGCAGUGAAAUGCGUAGAUAUGCGGAGGAACACCGAUGGCGAAGGCAAUCCCCUGGACCUGCACUGACGCUCAUGCACGAAAGCGUGGGGAGCAAACAGG
rnacentral:rRNA from 1 species